UACGUAGGCAGCAAGCGUUGUUCGGAAUUACUGGGCGUAAAGGGCUCGUAGGCGGCCAACUAAGUCAGACGUGAAAUCCCUCGGCUUAACCGGGGAACUGCGUCUGAUACUGGAUGGCUUGAGUGUGGGAGAGGGAUGCGGAAUUCCAGGUGUAGCGGUGAAAUGCGUAGAUAUCUGGAGGAACACCGGUGGCGAAGGCGGCAUCCUGGACCACGACUGACGCUGAGUGAGCGAAAGCCAGGGGAGCAAACGGG
rnacentral:rRNA from 1 species